rnacentral:RNase_P_RNA from 1 species
CUUGCGGGUCAACGCGAUCGCGGGGGAGGUAUCCCUCGAGGAAAGUCCGGACACCAAAGGGCAAGGCGGUGGGUAACGCCCACCCGGGGAAACCCGCGGGAAAGUCCCACAGAAACACACGGCCGAUGGCGCCCUCGGGCGCACAGGCAAAGGUGAAAUGGUGCGGUAAGAGCGCACCGGCGCUGCGGUGACGCAGCGGCCGGGCAAACCCCGCCCGGUGCAAGGCCAAGCAGGACCGACGACCCGGCCCGGCGAGGUUCAGGUAGGCCGCAGGAGCGCGGCGAACGUGCUCCCUUCGGGACGCAGUCCCGAUGAGAUGGAUGGUCGCGCCAGACAGGAUCCGGCUUAGCGACCCGCUAAAGAG